rnacentral:rRNA from 1 species
UGGGGAAUCUUGCACAAUGGGGGAAACCCUGAUGCAGCGACGCCGCGUGAGCGAUGAAGGUUUUCGAAUCGUAAAGCUCUGUCCUAUGGGAAGAUAAUGACGGUACCAUGGGAGGAAGCCCCGGCUAACUACGUGCCAGCAGCCGCGGUAAUACGUAGGGGGCGAGCGUUGUCCGGAAUUACUGGGCGUAAAGGGCUUGUAGGUGGUUUGUCGCGUCCGUCGUGAAAUCCUGUGGCUUAACCAUGGGCUUGCGGUGGGUACGGGCAGGCUUGGGUGCGGUAGGGGAGACUGGAAUUCCUGGUGUAGCGGUGGAAUGCGCAGAUAUCAGGAGGAACACCGGUGGCGAAGGCGGGUCUCUGGGCCGUUACUGACACUGAGGAGCGAAAGCGUGGGGAGCGAACAGG